rnacentral:lncRNA from 1 species
ACUCUUUUCCACACAGCGCCGGAAUGUAUGUGUCGUUCCUCUGCAUUUUGUGUCCUUGGAGCCGUAUCUUCGCGGUACCUCCUAGAGCUUCGCCAGCAGAGCACGGUGUCAAACUUCUGAAUUUUUGCCAGUCGGAUGGAGGAGAAAUGGCACCUCAGCCUGGCCUCCCUCAGCAUCUCUCUUAUAUGAGCAAAGUUAAUGCCUUCUCAUGUAUCCAAGGACCAUUUUUGCAACCUUUUGGGGAAACUGUUUUUCUUGCCCUUUGCUCAUUUUUCUCCAUGAUUUUUGCGCUUUUGUUUCUCGACUUUUAAAAAGUUCCUUGUAUAUGAAAGCCAUUCACCUUUUAUCAGUGAAAGCACGGGCUCAUCAAGAAGCUCUGGUUUUCUCCUGCCCGGACCCUCCCACGGAGCCUGCGGCCAGGAGGAAGCCAGCAGGAAGCAUGUUGGCACAGCCUCGGUGGAAGCGAAAGACCACACGCUGGAAUCCCAAAGCUUCAACUAUUCAUCAGCUGCCCAGUGCGCCAGUGGCGGUUCGGAGUGGCUGUUAACCUGGCAUUGACGCUAAACCUGGAGCAACAAGGACCGAAAUUCAGCCCAAACGACUGUUGGCACCUCCACCUCUGAGGUCUCGUGGAAAUUGGAUGAUCAAUUUUUAAGUGGCUUUAAUGAAAUAUUAGUUCCUUCUCCUUUGAAAUCGAUUUCACCAAAGCCAAAGCUUUAGAUCAGGUGAAAUCGCUCUUGGAAUAUGCCAGAGACAGGAUCCACCAACAGGCAGGUCUUCUCCGCCACUGACUGCCGGGAAGUGUCAAAGAACUGGGAGCCAGAGAUGGUUCUAUGGUCUCGGGAGGGAGCAGGGCCCAUGCUUUCCUCACCAGUCCCUGACUCAGGGGGUGGCAGUGAGUGCCAGGGAGUGACUGGCAGCGUCCCGACAGAGUGAAAGAAUGAGCGAAUGAAUACGCACGAAGCCAGCCUGUUAGGCUCCAUCACGGAAAUGCUUGCUUUGCCUCCAGGGAGUCAGCUGAAG